rnacentral:lncRNA from 1 species
GAGAAGUAACUGCACGAAUGGAAAACAUAAUAACGAUGUUAUAAAAUUUUAUAAUGUUUACUGGAUUCUAGAGAUCAAGGGAGAGGAGGGGUAUAAAACGAGGAGAACUGGAGUUGUCUGGAGGAUCCCAAACCCCCUCAUUCCUUCAUUCUUACAUUCACUACUUUUUUUCCAUUUCUUCUCUAGGUUGUUUUGUAAACAAUAGCAAAAUGAUAAGGGGAACAGUCUGUAUAUGGGUGGAAAUGAACGUUUUGGUUCGAGAAAUGGAGAUUUUGGAAAACUGCUAAUAGCGAAGGAGAAGGAUCCAGCGACAAAGGAGAAACUAAGUAGGGGAAUGUGAUAUUGGCUUCCAGGAAUGUUUCUUGGUGAGUUCCUUAACUCAAACCUUUAGUUUUUGUUUUGCAUGUUCAGUAUGGUGGUUGGACUGUGGUUUCUUGGAAAAAUUAUGUUGCAUGUUCGACUAAAGUCAAGAUGUGGCUCUGUUGUGAGAUAUUUCCUGUAUGAUGAUAUGUGUUAAGUGUUAGUAUGUAUAUGCAUGCCUGGUUGCGGGCAUAAGCUUGUGGUAUUGAUGAGAUGUUUACUGGUUAAAUUGUUAUUGGUUAUGUUGUUUUGUUGAACGGUCCAUUGAUUGUAAUGUGUAUUAGAGAUUGUGGUGAAAUGUUUAGUAUGCUCUGUUUUGUGCUAGUAAUUUGUAUGUUUAGCUGAGUGUGGGAAUCAUUAAAUGUUUGCUAUAUGUUAUUUUAGUGAAAAUGAAUUAUGUGCGGAGUAGGGAGGGAUGUAACGAUGGAUGAAGGAAUAAGGAGAUGUCAUGUUAUGCUGUAACAACUCGUUUUCAGUGAAAUCGGAAUAGUGGUUUCGGGACCACAAAUCCGAGGUCAGAAGAAAAUUUAUUUUUAAUAUUAUUUUCUGGUCUAUAAUAUAAUAAGAUUUUUGUGUGAAAAUUUCGUUAAGAAAUUUCACCAAUUACAUGUCUAAUUUGUUAAAAAAGACUAGAUUGAAAAACAUGCAAAACUUGUUAGUUAAAAUGAAUAGUGAUUAAAUAGUUCAAAUAGUAAAUAAGGAAGGAUUUUAGGCAUAAAUAUGCCUAAAGUGAUUGGCUGAGGCGGCAUAGGCUUAAAAAAGAUGACAAAAAUGGUGUGAAGUAAGGGAAAAAUUGGAAAUUUUGCCAAAUUAAUGAAAUAAAUGGAAAAUUAAAGAAUUCUAGACAAUUCAUCAUCAUUUUCAGUUCUAAAACCAGCCAUGGAAGAGGGUUUAAGCUGGUUUUUCAAUUAUUUCUUCAUGUAAGUCAAAUCCUCACCCGUUUUCUGAAAAUUUUAUGUUUUUGUGAUUGUUACAAUUAGGUCCAAGUAACAUUUACCUUGGUUUUUGAUUUUAUUGAAAAUUUUGGAAGUUAACAUUGAUGAGUUUAUAUGAUUUUAGUUAUUAGAUGAUGAAUUUGAAGUGUUAAUGGUUAUUUAAAAGUGUUUUAUUAAAGAAUUUUGAAGAAAACAUUAUUCAGGGAUUAAAUUGAAAAGAUGUUAAAUUCAUGGAAAAUUAUAAAUUUUAUGGAAUUCAUGGGAUUUCUAUUAUUAUGUUUGAAAUUUCUAGGCUUGGAAUGAAGAUUAAAUUGUAUGAAUUUCAUUUUUCCGAGCCUAGGGACGAAAUUAGAAUUAAUCAAAAGUAUAGGAGCAAAAUGGUACUUUUGCCUAAAAUGUGAAUUUGAGUGAAUUGGAUAUGAAUUUCAUUUAAUUGAGUUAAAUUUACUCGUAUCGAUCCGGAUAGACCUAGUACGGAAUUGGAUCGAGGAAAAUAAAAAAUAUCGGAUUAGUAGACUCUCGUAAACGAACAAGUGUCAAGGUAAGUUCGUGUAACUAAAUUAUGUAUGUUUACAUGUUUUAUUUGAAUGUUGUAUAUAUGAAUUAUGAAUUUCUUAUGUUAUUGAAGACAAUUAUUGAUUCCACAAAGCCCGAUGCGUGAUAAGUCCUAUAUGAAUAAUGAAAUUCGAAAGAUACUGGAUUUCUCAAAUUGGUUGUAGUCAUGCAUAUGUUGUGGACACACCAUAGCUCUUACGAGCAUCUUGUUAUUAGCCCUCUCGAGCUUCUUGUUAUAUAGUUUUGCGAGCACCCUGAUCGGUAGUAAUUCUGCAUAUGUUGUGGACUACCGCAGCUCCUUGUGAGCGUCCUGUUUGUGAUCAGUUGUGAUCCUAUAUAUGUUACGGACACAAAUGCAGCUCUUUGUGAGCGUCCUAAUAUAGCUCGCUUGAACUUCCUUAUAUAUGGCUAUCCGGAGCUCCCGUUACACGGCUCUUAGUAAGCUUCCCGAUAGGCUCUUCGUGAGCUUCUUGAUUAAAUGUUCUUUGUGAACUUCCUGAUUAUGGCUCUUAUGAGCUUCCUAAUAUAGCCUAGAAAAGUUUCCUAUUAUAUAACUCAUAUAAGCUUCUCGUUAUAUGGCUUAAGAGAGUGUUUCCUGUUUAAGUGUUCUUAUGAACACUCCAGAAUAUGAAUUGACGGAUUAUAGAUUACUACACUUCAUGUGUACUACCCAAUGUCCAUCGAUAUUUUAUAAAGUUCAACAGGAAAUACAUGAAACGUUUAUAUGAUGAACUCAUCUUUAUUACUUGAAAAAUGCUUAGAAAUUCAUAACUAACUUGCUUGAUUGAGUAUAUGUCAUUAGGCAUUUGGCCAAUUUGCUAGGGAUGUAUGUUAUUUAUAUGCCUACUUAAAAUGAACAUGAUUGGUAAGUUAAGUUCCUGUUAUACGAACUUACUAAGCAAUUGAUGCUUACUUGGUUUUCUUUCCUCUGUUUUAUAGUGCUCGGAAGCUCAUAAAGGUUGGAGUUCGAUCGAAGCAUCAUCACACUAUCCUCCAGCUCGUUUUGGUAUAAAUAGAAAAUUUAUUUUGGUAUAAUGGCAUGUAUAGGUUAAUGUUGACAAAUGAGGGUAUGUAAUGUUUUAGUUGUAUUUAGCCAUUGGAAUGGCUAGUGAUAGUAUGUUUAAUGUAUAUAUACAUGAGGUUAUAUUAUGUUUGGUAUGUGAGUAUGAUUAAAAAGGUAAGAUCAAUACUUGAAGGUAUGAACAAACAUGACAUGCAUAAAACUUAAUUAUUAGCUUGAUUUAUAUGCCUUGAAUUGGUUGGUGAAUAUGUUGAAAUUUCAAUGUAGG